rnacentral:rRNA from 1 species
UACGAAGGGGGCUAGCGUUGCUCGGAUUGACUGGGCGUAAAGGGCGCGUAGGCGGUUCGUACAGUCAGACGUGAAAUUCCUGGGCUCAACCUGGGGGCUGCGUUUGAUACGUGCGGACUUGAGUGCGGAAGAGGGUCGGUGGAAUUCCCAGUGUAGAGGUGAAAUUCGUAGAUAUUGGGAAGAACACCGGUGGCGAAGGCGGCGACCUGGUCCGAUACUGACGCUGAGGCGCGAAAGCGUGGGGAGCAAACAGGG